GCACGCGGUGUCUCACGGUGGGGGCGUGAUUGUUGUAUCUUGAAGGCGGUAGAAUCACCAGUGAUGGCCCAGAGUACCUCGCCAAUAUUCCUCAAUGAUGACGCCGUGGCAUCACAUUUGCGGUGGAAGCCCCUGUUGGAGGCUGUGGGGCAGAGCAUGGCAGAAUUCUCCAGAAGAGAUGGCGCUGUAUGCCAACCUGUGCGCAUUUCCAUCCCAUUGGCACAGCAUGAUGGUUGGUUCGGCUCAAUGUCAGCGUACAGCCGGCAAGCUAGCAGCAUUGCCACAAAGCUGGUAACGAGCUACCCAAACAACAUCAGCUGUCCCAAGAUUCAAUCAACUGUACUGCUGCACUGUCCGGAGGAUGGCAGACUUCUGGCGCUGAUGUCCGGGGAGCACAUUACGGCC